rnacentral:rRNA from 1 species
GACGAACGCUGGCGGCGUGCUUAAUACAUGCAAGUCGAACGAAGUGGCGAACGGGUGAGUAACGCGUAAUCAACCUGCCCUUCAGAGGGGGACCACAGUUGGAAACGACUGCUAAUACCGCAUACUGAAGGAGGGGACUGCGUCUGAUUAGCUAGUUGGAGGGGUCACGGCCCCCCAAGGCGAUGAUCAGUAGCCGGUCUGAGAGGAUGAACGGACAGAUUGGGACUGAGACACGGCCCAGACUCCUACGGGAGGCAGCAGUGGGGAAUCUUCCGAAAUGGACGAAAGUCUGACGGAGCAACGCCGGGUGAGUGAUGACGGCCUUCGGGUUGUAAAGCUCUGUUAAUCGGGACGCGGUACCGGAAUAGAAAGCCACGGCUAACUACGUGCCAGCAGCCGCGGUAAUUC